rnacentral:rRNA from 1 species
UACAGAGGGGGCAAGCGUUGUUCGGAAUUACUGGGCGUAAAGGGCGCGUAGGCGGCCUUCUAAGUCGAACGUGAAAUCCCCGGGCUCAACCCGGGGACUGCGUCCGAUACUGGAAGGCUUGAAUCCGGGAGAGGGAUGCGGAAUUCCAGGUGUAGCGGUGAAAUGCGUAGAUAUCUGGAGGAACACCGGUGGCGAAGGCGGCAUCCUGGACCGGCAUUGACGCUGAGGCGCGAAAGCCAGGGGAGCAAACGGG